UACAGAGGGUGCGAGCGUUAAUCGGAAUUACUGGGCGUAAAGGGCGCGUAGGCGGCCUUCUAAGUCGAACGUGAAAUCCCCGGGCUCAACCCGGGAACUGCGUCCGAUACUGGAAGGCUUGAAUCCGGGAGAGGGAUGCGGAAUUCCAGGUGUAGCGGUGAAAUGCGUAGAUAUCUGGAGGAACACCGGUGGCGAAGGCGGCAUCCUGGACCGGCAUUGACGCUGAGGCGCGAAAGCGUGGGGAGCAAACAGG
rnacentral:rRNA from 1 species